rnacentral:rRNA from 1 species
CCUACGGGUGGCAGCAGUGGGGAAUAUUGCACAAUGGGGGAAACCCUGAUGCAGCGACGCCGCGUGAGUGAAGAAGUACUUCGGUAUGUAAAGCUUCAUUAGCCGGGAAGAAAUAAAGUCCUUCGGACUUUGGACGGUACCUGACUAAGAAGCCACGGCUAACUACGUGCCAGCAGCCGCGGUAAUACGUAGGGGGCAAGCGUUAUCCGGCUUUACUGGGUGGAAAGGGAGCGUAGACGGCAGCGCAAGGCUGGAGGGAAAUCCCAUGGGUUAACCAUGGAACUGCUUUGGAAACUGUGGAGCUGGAGUGCGGGAGAGGUAAGCGGAAUUCGUGGUGUAGCGGUGAAAUGCGUAGAUAUUAGGAGGAACACCAGUGGCGAAGGCGGCUUACUGGACUGUAACUGACGUUGAGGCACGAAAGCGUGGGGAGCGAACAGGAUUAGAUACCCGAGUAGUC